UACGGAGGGGGCUAGCGUUGUUCGGAAUUACUGGGCGUAAAGCGCACGUAGGCGGCUUUGUAAGUCAGGGGUGAAAGCCUGGAGCUCAACUCCAGAACUGCCUUUGAGACUGCAUCGCUUGAAUCCGGGAGAGGUAAGUGGAAUUCCGAGUGUAGAGGUGAAAUUCGUAGAUAUUCGCAAGAACACCAGUGGCGAAGGCGGCUCACUGGCCCGGUACUGACGCUGAGGUGCGAAAGCGUGGGGAGCAAACAGG
rnacentral:rRNA from 1 species